rnacentral:rRNA from 1 species
UACGGAGGGUGCAAGCGUUAUCCGGAUUCACUGGGUUUAAAGGGUGCGUAGGCGGGUAAGUAAGUCCGUGGUGAAAUCUCUGAGCUUAACUCAGAAACUGCCGUGGAUACUAUUUGCCUUGAAUAUUGUGGAGGUGAGCGGAAUAUGUCAUGUAGCGGUGAAAUGCUUAGAUAUGGCAUAGAACACCAAUUGCGAAGGCAGCUCACUACACAAUCAUUGACGCUGAGGCACGAAAGCGUGGGGAUCAAACAGG